rnacentral:rRNA from 1 species
AUACGGAGGGUCCGAGCGUUAUCCGGAAUCAUUGGGUUUAAAGGGUCCGUAGGCGGGAAUCUAAGUCAGUGGUGAAAUCUUGCGGCUCAACUGUAAAAUUGCCAUUGAUACUGGAUUUCUUGAAUUAGUGUGAAGUGGUUAGAAUGUGUAGUGUAGCGGUGAAAUGCAUAGAUAUUACACAGAAUACCAAUUGCGAAGGCAGAUCACUAACACUAUAUUGACGCUAAGGGACGAAAGCGUGGGGAGCGAACAGGAUUAGAAACCCUAGUAGUCC